GUUGCGAUUUCUUUGGAAAAAGCCAGGAAUACCGCCGACUGCCUGAUGUUUAACGAUUCACCCGCUCCCUCCCGAGCGCGGCGCCGAGCAGAGGAGCCCGGCCCCGGCCGAGCGGGCGGAGCGCGGCGCUCACCUGCCCGCCCCGCCGCGGCGGGGGAGGCGGGCGGCCGGGCGGCCGCGGCCGGGAAGGGGAGGCGAUGGCGGCCGCCGACUCGCCGGGCUCCGGGGACCUCUCGCAGUUGGCGGGUGGCUGGCUCCGCGGGAGAGGCUUCGUGUUCCCAGGGCUGCGGUUCCUCUGCCGGACCGAGCUCGAAAUGGGCGAGCGCAUUGAUGACCUCGAGAAGCAUGUUGCUGACCUGAUGACAGAGGCUGGGAUAGAAAACACCGACGAAGAGUUGAAACACUGAAAUGAGGAUGCGAUCAAGAAAGAUAAAGGGAGAACAGCACCGCACUGAAUCUGGGAGAUUACAAUCACUGUCGCUAGUCACAAAAAGCAUCAGCGAAAACAAACACGCUUACAUCACGUCACAAUAGAAUCUCAAAUUUAUUUUUUUUUAAACUAUUGCCCCAGGGGGAAAAAAGAAGUAGAAAGCUGGGCUUAUUCAUCUAAAUGGGACACUGUACUUCCUGUAACUGGGAAACAGUUAGUUUCACAGGGGAGACAAAAAUCACUAUUUUGGAUGGAAAACUAUAGCCUACAUAGUGAACUUAUCCAGCCACAAACUAUUUCAAUGUAUGAAAA